UGGGGAAUAUUGCGCAAUGGGGGGAACCCUGACGCAGCCAUGNCGCGUGAAUGAAGAAGGCCUUCGGGUUGUAAAGUUCUUUCGGUAUUGAGGAAGGUUGAUGUGUUAAUAGCACAUCAAAUUGACGUUAAAUACAGAAGAAGCACCGGCUAACUCCGUGCCAGCAGCCGCGGUAAUACGGAGGGUGCGAGCGUUAAUCGGGAAUAACUGGGCGUAAAGGGCACGCAGGCGGUUAUUUAAGUGAGGUGUGAAAGCCCCGGGCUUAACCUGGGAAUUGCAUUUCAGACUGGGUAACUAGAGUACUUUAGGGAGGGGUAGAAUUCCACGUGUAGCGGUGAAAUGCGUAGAGAUGUGGAGGAAUACCGAAGGCGAAGCCAGCCCCUUGGGAAUGUACUGNNANNNNNCCANGNGNGNAAAGCGUGGGGAGCAAACAGGAUUAGAUACCCUGGUAGUCCACGCUGUAAACGCUGUCGAUUUGGGGGUUGGGGUUUAACUCUGGCGCCCGUAGCUAACGUGAUAAAUCGACCGCCUGGGGAGUACGGCCGCAAGUU
rnacentral:rRNA from 1 species